rnacentral:rRNA from 1 species
GACGUAGGGGGCAAGCGUUGUCCGGAUUUACUGGGCGUAAAGAGCGUGUAGGCGGCCAAGCAGGUCCGUUGUGAAAACUGGAGGCUUAACCUCCAGACGUCGACGGAAACCGCGUGGCUAGAGUCCGGAAGAGGAGAGUGGAAUUCCUGGUGUAGCGGUGAAAUGCGCAGAUAUCAGGAAGAACACCAAUGGCGAAGGCAGCUCUCUGGGACGGUACUGACGCUGAGACGCGAAAGCGUGGGGAGCGAACAGG